AAGUACCUACCACUUGACUUUUUGAGGAAAAUUACAGAUAACUUCUCCAGUCAAAGUGCAUAUGGAAAUCUUUAUAAGGGUAUUAUGCCAGAUGGUACAAUGAUUGUUGUGAAGAAACUUGUAGAAAAUUCUAUGGUGCCACGUGAUGAAGCAUUUUCUAAUGAAGUUCAAAAUAUGAUGGCUCUCCGUCACGAAAAUAUUGUGAAGUUAGUUGGCUUUUGUCAUGAAGGUCAAAAGGAAGUAGUGCAGAAAGACGGAAAGUAUUUUGUUGCAAACAUUUUCCAAUAUUUACGCUGCUACGAAUACUUACCUAUGGGAAGUCUUGGCAAUAAUCUCUUUGUGGAUGCAUGGCUCCAGAAUAUUAACUCCAAGGAAAACUCUCCACCAAGUCAGACAUAUAUGAUUUAGGUGUACUAAUCUUGGAGAUCACUACAGGAAAGAAGAAUGGCAAGAAAAACCCAUCUGGAAGAGAAUACAUAUAUGAAGUAAGAGUAAAU
rnacentral:rRNA from 1 species